rnacentral:rRNA from 1 species
AGCCAGACUCCUACGGGAGGCAGCAGUGAGGAAUAUUGGUCAAUGGGCGGGAGCCUGAACCAGCCAAGUCGCGUGAAGGAAGAAGGUACUUAGUAUUGUAAACUUCUUUUGUCGGGGAACAAAGGCGGAGACGCGUUUCCGGAUGAGUGUACCCGGAGAAAAAGCAUCGGCUAACUCCGUGCCAGCAGCCGCGGUAAUACGUAGGGGGCGAGCGUUAUCCGGAUUCACUGGGUGUAAAGGGAGCGUAGACGGCCAAGCAAGCCAGGGGUGAAAGCCCGGGGCCCAACCCCGGGACUGCUCUUGGAACUGCGCGGCUGGAGUGCAGGAGGGGCAGGCGGAAUUCCUGGUGUAGCGGUGAAAUGCGUAGAUAUCAGGAGGAACACCGGUGGCGAAGGCGGCCUGCUGGACUGCGACCGACGUUGAGGCCCGAAAGCGUGGGGAGCAAACAGGAUUAGAUACCCGGGUA